CCUACGGGAGACAGCAGUGAGGAAUAUUGGUCAAUGGCCGGAAGGCUGAACCAGCCAAGCCGCGUGAAGGACGAAGGUGCCAAGCAUUGUAAACUUCUUUUGUCAAGGGACAAAAUCAGGCUCGAGAGCCUGACCGAGGGUACUUGAAGAAAAAGCAUCGGCUAACUCCGUGCCAGCAGCCGCGGUAAUACGGAGGAUGCGAGCGUUAUCCGGAUUUAUUGGGUUUAAAGGGUGCGUAGGCGGACUGUUAAGUCAGCGGGAAAAGCCCGGGGCUCAACCCCGGCGAGCCGUUUAAACUGGCUGUCUUGAGAUGUCGAGAGGUAUGCGGAAUGCGCAGUGUAGCGGUGAAAUGCUUAGAUAUUGCGUAGAACUCCGAUUGCGAAGGCAGCAUACCGGCGGCGAUCUGACGCUGAGGCACGAAAGCGUGGGUAUCGAACAGGAUUAGAUACCCUAGUAGUC
rnacentral:rRNA from 1 species